UACAGAGGCCCCGAGCGUUAAUCGGAAUCACUGGGCGUAAAGGGUGCGUAGGCGGGUCUUUAAGUCAGGGGGGAAAUCCUGGAGCUCAACUCCAGAACUGCCUUUGAUACUGAAGAUCUUGAGUUCGGGAGAGGUGAGUGGAACUGCGAGUGUAGAGGUGAAAUUCGUAGAUAUUCGCAAGAACACCAGUGGCGAAGGCGGCUCACUGGCCCGAUACUGACGCUGAGGCACGAAAGCGUGGGGAGCAAACAGG
rnacentral:rRNA from 1 species